GGAAGGAAGAAGUCUGAUUUUGAAUGUUUCCUCGAGCCUUGAAUUUAUUGCUGCUGCUAUCUGAUAAAAGUAACAAGUAUGUCUUCAAAAGGCAACUUGGUACUUAGAUACAAUCUGCCUGAAGCUUCAAAGAAACUCCUGGCACCGGGAAAGGAAAUAUUUUAUAGAGCUGUUGGAGCCAUUGGGAUCACUUAUGUGCUUAACCGGCUGAUUGUGUUGUCUAUAUUUCCUGUUUUGAAGACAAUCAUCCUGCAGCCAUGGAGGUGUAAGACCUCUCCUGAUCUGGAAUUGGUUCCAGAAUGCAGAAGCUGCAGUUUGAAGGAAAGUCACUGACUGUCAGUGGACUUUUAACAAAAUCAGAAGAAUCAGUUUAAACAAAAUGAGUGAUGUCACCCUGGUCUCCAUGAGUUCAGAAUCCAUCUGAAAGUGUAUCCACUGGAGCUGGUGCGAGGAAUGCACCAAUUCCAGMAGCAGAAAGUUCCUACUUAGCUGGAGCAGUACAGAGAAAGAGAAGGGAAACCUUUCUGCAAAGAAAGCAGGCUGGAUUCUACUUAACAGAG
rnacentral:lncRNA from 1 species